UUUCCGUAGGUGAACCUGCGGAAGGGUCAUUCAUAAUAAAGUGUUUUAUGGCACUUUUUAAAAAUCCAUAUCCACCUUGUGUGCAAUGUUAGAUCUCGUCAAUCUUGGCGAGAUUUUUAUACAUCAACUCAUUUUUUAACUAAUUUGUCUGAAAAAUAUUAUGAAUACUUAAUUCAAAAAACAACUUUCAACAACGGAUCUCUUGGCUCUC
rnacentral:misc_RNA from 1 species